rnacentral:tRNA from 1 species
GUGCGUGUAGAUUAUAUUUUUUGUAAAUCGUAAGGCUGUUAACUUUAAGAAGAUGUGUUUGUAUCCGCGGACG